GUGGCAGCCCGCCGCGCUGCUCAGCCCUGGGGGCCCCACCCCCAGUCAGGCGGCCCACCCCCAGAGUGGGAAAAAGUGGCAGCCCGCCGCGCUGCUCAGCCCUGGGGGCCAUCCCCACCCACUCAGUCGGCGGACCACCAGAGUGGGUCAAAGUAGCAGCCCGCCGCGCUGCUCAGCCCUGGGGGCCCUUUCCCCACCCAUGCGGCCGACCGCCAGAGUGGGUCAAAGUGGCAGUCCGCCACGCUGCUCAUCCCUGGGGGCCCUUUCCCCACCCAAGCGGCCGACCGCCAGAGUGGGUCAAAGUGGCAGCCCUCCGAGCAUUGGCGGGCCCGACCCCCACUCAAGCGGCCCAUAGCCAGAGUGGGAAAAAGUGGCAACCCGCCGCGCAGCUCAGCCCUGGGGGCCCCUCCCCCACUCAGGCGGCAGACCACCAGAAUGGUGAAAGUGGCAGCCCGCCGCGCUGCCCAGCCUGGGCGGGCCCCCCUCUACUCAGGCGGCCGACCACCAGAGUGGUCAAAGUGGCAGCCCGUCGUGCUGCUCAGCCCUGGGGGCCCCUCCCCCACUCAGGCGGCCGAAGGUCAGAGUGGGAAAAACUGGCAGCCCGCCGCGCUGCUCUGCCCUGGGGGACCCACGCCCACUCAGGCGGCCGCCCACCACAGUGGGUCAAAGUGGCAGUCUGCUGCCCCGCUCAGCCCUGGGGGGGCCCCCACUCGGGCGGCCGAUGGCGCAAGUGAGUAAAGUAAAAGUGGCAGCCCGCCGCGCCGCUCAGCCACGGGGCCCCCACUCAGGCUGCAGACUGUGUAAAUGGCAGCCCCUGUGGCUGGGAAGUGCUUUGCAUCUACAGAAGCCUCUGGAACUAGGGCUAUGUUCUAUAUAUUAUACAGAAUCCAGCAGGAAAUGUUCAUCCAAGAACCCAUGCAAAAGACGCCCAUCCUAUUCCGCUGUCUGCCUUCUAGAGGGAACCAUUAUUCCGAUUCCCCUGGGUUUUUUUGUUUGUUUUUUUUUUUUUGAUACCUCUUUGUUGUUAAAAUCCCACAGGUAGAUUUUCUUAACACUAUAUAUAUAUAUUUUUUUUUAUUUAAGACCUUUAUUAACAGGUGCUUGCAGUUUGUUGACUUUUUUGAAAAAAUCAAGUUGUAAACUUUUAUUACAAAUUAAAAAUGAGGUUCUUAAAAAUCUCAACUUGACCAGAUAUGAAACAAUUUAAAAACCUUUAAAGGUGUAUUGAGAAAAACCAGGCUUUUUUUUUUUUUUUUUAAAAACACGUUUGUCAUUACCAAAAAGAGACAUCUUUAGGUAAAAAUAAUAAAAACCCCAUGCUGCAUAGAUAAUGCA
rnacentral:lncRNA from 1 species